CCUACGGGAGGCAGCAGUGGGGAAUCUUGCGCAAUGGGCGAAAGCCUGACGCAGCAACGCCGCGUGCGGGAAGAAGGCUUUCGGGCUGUAAACCGCUUUCAGCAGGAACGAAAAUGACGGUACCUGCAGAAGAAGGAGCGGCCAACUAUGUGCCAGCAGCCGCGGUGAUACAUAGGCUUCAAGCGUUGUCCGGAUUUAUUGGGCGUAAAGAGUUCGUAGGCGGUCGAGUAAGUCGGGUGUGAAAAUUCUGGGCUCAACCCAGAGACGCCACCCGAUACUGCUUGACUUGAGUUCGAUAGGGGAGUGGGGAAUUCCUAGUGUAGCGGUGAAAUGCGCAGAUAUUAGGAGGAACACCGGUGGCGAAGGCGCCACUCUGGAUCGAUACUGACGCUGAGGAACGAAAGCAUGGGUAGCAAACAGGAUUAGAUACCCUGGUAGUCCAUGCCGUAAACGGUGGGCACUAGGUGUGGGUUUCUAUUAACGAAAUCCGCGCCGUCGCUAACGCAUUAAGUGCCCCGCCUGGGGAGUACGGUCGCAAGCUAAAACUCAAANANAUGCGCGNGAGACGNGCCGAGACGACACGAGGAGUAGG
rnacentral:rRNA from 1 species